AAAAAAGCGAAGAACAGAAAAGAUUAAAAGGGCGUUAAAGAGAGCUGAUGGAUGGUGUAAAUCAGUACAUAACUUUUAUGAAGAUGGUCUGGGAGCUGUUAUCUCGAAUAGUUAGGGAUAAACGUUAACUGCGUUAAAGUUUUGAGAGACACUUUGGUGUAAAAAAGGUGGUACCGCGUAUAUUUACGUCCUUUUA
rnacentral:ncRNA from 1 species